rnacentral:rRNA from 1 species
AUUGAACGCUGGCGGCAGGCCUAACACAUGCAAGUCGAACGAGUGGCGGACGGGUGAGUAAUGUAUGGGAAACUGCCAGAUGGAGGGGGAUAACUACUGGAAACGGUAGCUAAUACAGCAUACCAUCGGAUGUGCCCAGAUGGGAUUAGCUAGUAGGUGGGGUAAAGGCUCACCUAGGCGACGAUCCCUAGCUGGUCUGAGAGGAUGACCAGCCACACUGGAACUGAGACACGGUCCCGACUCCUACGGGAGGCAGCAGGGGGGAAUAGUGCACAAUGGGCGCAAGCCUGAUGCAGCCAUGCCGCGUGGAUGAAGAAGGCCGUCGGGUUGUAAAGUACGUUCAGCGGGGAGGCGUUACCCGCAGAAGAAGCACCGGCUAACUCCGUGCCAGCCGCCGCGGUAAUAC